GCAAACUUGGUCAUUUAGAGGAAGUAAAAGUCGUAACAAGGUUUCCGUAGGUGAACCUGCGGAAGGAUCAUUAGUGAAAUAACCUGGGACUUUAUGUCUCAGACCAUCUCACAUCCAUACACCUUUGUGCACUGUUGGACAGUCCUUUUUUUCAAGGUUUGUCCUAUAAUUUCAUGAACAUUGUUAUAAGUAAGGAAACAAUAUAAUAAUAAACAAAACAAAACUUUCAACAACGGAUCUCUUGGCUCUCACAUCGAUGAAGAACGCAGC
rnacentral:misc_RNA from 1 species